rnacentral:antisense_RNA from 1 species
CUUGAACUCACUGUCAUGGAUGGUGAAGUAGGGACGGAAGUCGCAGCAGAACCUCAGGGGCUGCAGGCAGCUGUGGGCAGAGGCAGCAGGGAGCAGGUGAGACGGGGCAGCCCAGGUACAGCCGUGAUGACCCAGCUCCCCCAGCCGGGACCAGGCCAAGGGGGUACCUGGUCAAGGCCAGCACCAUCUCCGAGGACACGUCGGGCGAGGGUGCCAGGACCAGCAGGGGCUCCCCGAGGAGCAUGAGCUCCCACAGUGUCUGCAUAUGAGUCAGCACAGGCCGGAAGCACCUGGGGCCGGGCAGGCAGGUCGGGGAGGUCAGGCAGGGGCUGAGACUCCUGGCCCUGGCCCCGCUCUCCACCGUUCACCCAGGCUGGCCCGGGCACUGGUGAACAUGGCACACUGCGCCAGGGUGAAGACAGACCUAUCUGAAGAUGUGUCUCGGGGUGGACCAGGGAGGCAGGUGUGGGACCACCCAGCCCAGGAGCAGGACUCAAUCGGGUGAAGCCCAGCUGUCUCAGCUCCACCU